GCUGGAGUGGCGUAACGGCAAACGCGCAGGUCUGAGAUGCCUGUGAGCACACGGCUCAAAUGCGGGUUCAAGUCCCGCCUCCAGUACCA
rnacentral:tRNA from 1 species